GAUGAACGCUGGCGGCGUGCCUAAUACAUGCAAGUCGAGCGAACGGACGAGAGGCUUGCUUCUCCGAUGUUAGCGGCGGACGGGUGAGUAACACGUGGAUAACCUACCUAUAAGACUGGGAUAACUUCGGGAAACCGGAGCUAAUACCGGAUAAUAUUUUGAACCGCAUGGUUCAAAAGUGAAAGACGGUCUUGCUGUCACUUAUAGAUGGAUCCGCGCUGCAUUAGCUAGUUGGUAAGGUAACGGCUUACCAAGGCAACGAUGCAUAGCCGACCUGAGAGGGUGAUCGGCCACACUGGAACUGAGACACGGUCCAGACUCCUACGGGAGGCAGCAGUAGGGAAUCUUCCGCAAAGGGCGAAAGCCUGACGGAGCAACGCCGCGUGAGUGAUGAAGGUCUUCGGAUCGUAAAACUCUGUUAUUAGGGAAGAACAUAUGUGUAAGUAACUGUGCACAUCUUGACGGUACCUAAUCAGAAAGCCACGGCUAACUACGUG
rnacentral:rRNA from 1 species